GACGAAGGUGGCGAGCGUUGUUCGGAAUCACUGGGCAUAAAGCGCACGUAGGCGGCGGCGUAAGUUGGAUGUGAAAUCCCCCGGCCCAACCGGGGAACUGCGUCCAGUACUGCGUUGCUUGAGGAUCCAAGGGGUGCAUGGAAUUCCCGGUGGAGCGGUGAAAUGCGUUGAUAUCGGGAGGAACUCCGGCGGCGAAAGCGGUGCACUGGUGGAUUACUGACGCUGAGGUGCGAAAGCCAGGGGAGCAAACGGG
rnacentral:rRNA from 1 species